rnacentral:rRNA from 1 species
CAGCACCUCAAGUGGUCAGGAUGAUUAUUUGGCCUAAAGCAUCCGUAGCCGGCGCUGUAAGUUUUCGGUUAAAUCUGUACGCUCAACGUACAGGCUGCCGGGAAUACUGCAGCGCUAGGGAGUGGGAGAGGUAGACGGUACUCGGUAGGAAGGGGUAAAAUCCUUUGAUCUAUUGAUGACCACCUGUGGCGAAGGCGGUCUACCAGAACACGUCCGACGGUGAGAGAUGAAAGCUGGGGGAGCAAACCGGAUUAGAUACCCGAGUAGUCC